CCCAGAAGCAAAUAGAUUCAUCUGCACUUAUCGAAGCAAGCAUUGUUUCGUCCUUAU
rnacentral:antisense_RNA from 1 species